AACGCGAAGAACCUUACCUACUCUUGACAUCCAGAGAACUUUCCAGAGAUGGAUUGGUGCCUUCGGGAACUCUGAGACAGGUGCUGCAUGGCUGUCGUCAGCUCGUGUUGUGAAAUGUUGGGUUAAGUCCCGCAACGAGCGCAACCCUUAUCCUUUGUUGCCAGCGGUUCGGCCGGGAACUCAAAGGAGACUGCCAGUGAUAAACUGGAGGAAGGUGGGGAUGACGUCAAGUCAUCAUGGCCCUUACGAGUAGGGCUACACACGUGCUACAAUGGCAUAUACAAAGAGAAGCGACCUCGCGAGAGCAAGCGGACCUCAUAAAGUAUGUCGUAGUCCGGAUUGGAGUCUGCAACUCGACUCCAUGAAGUCGGAAUCGCUAGUAAUCGUAGAUCAGAAUGCUACGGUGAAUACGUUCCCGGGCCUUGUACACACCG
rnacentral:rRNA from 1 species